rnacentral:rRNA from 1 species
AUUGAACGCUGGCGGCAUGCUUUACACAUGCAAGUCGAACGGCAGCGCGGGGCAACCUGGCGGCGAGUGGCGAACGGGUGAGUAAUAUAUCGGAACGUACCCAGAAGUGGGGGAUAACGUAGCGAAAGUUACGCUAAUACCGCAUACGAUCUACGGGUGAAAGUGGGGGACCUUCGGGCCUCAUGCUUGUGGAGCGGCCGAUAUCUGAUUAGCUAGUUGGUGAGGUAAAGGCUCACCAAGGCGACGAUCAGUAGCUGGUCUGAGAGGACGACCAGCCACACUGGGACUGAGACACGGCCCAGACUCCUACGGGAGGCAGCAGUGGGGAAUUUUGGACAAUGGGCGCAAGCCUGAUCCAGCAAUGCCGCGUGAGUGAAGAAGGCCUUCGGGUUGUAAAGCUCUUUUGUCAGGGAAGAAACGGGACUGGUUAAUACCUGGUCCUAUUGACGUUACCCGCAGAAGAAGCACCGGCUAACUCCGUGCCAGCCGCCGCGGUAACAC